AACGGAUUUUGGAACCUGGUAUUCCGGGGAUUUGUUACUGAAGAAGUGAGGACAGAUGUGAAGAGACAAACCUGGAACCAAUUAGAGCAGGAGGAGCCCAUCCACCAGUCCACCAGAGGCACUUUCGGUGUGGAGACUGAGGCAGGUGCUACUGUCGCUCCUCUGGAGAAGUAAUCAACAGCACCUCUGUUCUAAGUGGACAGCAGGAUAAAGAUGACGGCCAGGGUGUUGAAGGACCAGCGGCCGUUCAUGGUCAUCUCUCAGCCCU